rnacentral:rRNA from 1 species
AGUGAACGCUGGCGGCAGGCCUAAUACAUGCAAGUCGAACGGCAGCACAGUGGAGCUUGCUCCAUGGGUGGCGAGUGGCGGACGGGUGAGGAAUACAUGGGAAUCUGCCCAGUCGUGGGGGAUAACGUAUGGAAACGUACGCUAAUACCGCAUGCGCCCUUCGGGGGAAAGUCGGGGACCGCAAGGCCUGACGCGAUUGGAUGAGCCCAUGUUCGAUUAGCUAGUUGGCGGGUAACGGCCCACCAAGGCGACGAUCGAUAGCUGGUCUGAGAGGAUGAUCAGCCACACUGGAACUGAGACACGGUCCAGACUCCUACGGGAGGCAGCAGUAGGGAAUAUUGGACAAUGGGCGCAAGCCUGAUCCAGCCAUGCCGCGUGAGUGAAGAAGGCCCUCGGGUUGUAAAGCUCUUUGUUGGGAAGAAAGCAGUUGGUUAAUACCCGAUUGUUCUGACGGUACCCAAGAAUAAGCACCGGCUAACUUCGUGCCAGCAGCC